rnacentral:sRNA from 1 species
UAGCAACGGAUAUUCCGUUGCUAAACGAAUAGCAAAAAUAAAAAAAAAAGAAACAAGUAUUGCAACGGAUAUUCCGUUGCAA